UAAGUGUAUACAAAAUUUUGUGAUAAUCUAAUGAUCUGGUUUAGAGAUAUCUAGUUUUUAGCACAAGAGGAUUUCAGAAGGUGGCAGUUUGAGGUUGGGUAGAAUUUCUAUGAUCUCUGAAGAUCUAUCAGUCGGAUUAAGGUGAAAAUUGGCAUGGUAUUAGAGAACUUAAAGAUCAAGCUACAUACAAAUUUUGAGACAAAGUUAAUAAUUAAAGAAGGAGAAAUCAUUGCUGGGAUUUUUGCUUUACUUUUCAAGUUGGCCGCCGAGUGACAUUGGUGCAAUUUUUGGAGGUUUUCUCACAAUCUAUAAGCUGAAUUGGGCUAAAAAUUCUUGAGCAUUUAGAAGACUUACAUUGAAAAUUGCAUGCAAAAUUCUACAUCAAGUGGAUGGUCGGAUUGGAUGUUAUAGCUUGUUAAAGCUCACUAAUUAGGAUUGGGGUUUACAAGAAAAAUCUAAAUUGCUUAAAUAUGAAAAAAAUAAGGUAAUUGGAAUUUAUGUAUGGUUGAGACUACUAAGAAGAGUGUUUUAAGCACUUUUGAAUUGAAAUUCAGAUUAUAUUCUUCUCGCAUGGAUGAAACCUAUUAGGAUUUCUUGGCAACUUGUAAAACAUAAUCUCACCUUCCACAGCUAAGUGUCUAGUGCAUUCUUGAGCAAAAUAACACAUAAUAUGACACCAGAUAUUUUGGAUAUAAU
rnacentral:lncRNA from 1 species